rnacentral:snRNA from 1 species
AUCGCUUCUCGGCCUUUUGGCUAAGAUCAAGUGUAGUAUUUAGAGGACAGUUUGUUCUGUGGUUUGCCUGUUGUUUUGUGCACAAUUUAUAAUUUAAAAAAUAGGGAGUUCCUGUCAUGGCUCAGUGGAAACCAAUCCCACUGGUAUCCGUGGAGACGCA